rnacentral:rRNA from 1 species
AUUGAACGCUGGCGGCAGGCCUAACACAUGCAAGUCGAGCGGAUGAAGGGAGCUUGCCCCUGGAUUCAGCGGCGGACGGGUGAGUAAUGCCUAGGAAUCUGCCUGGUAGUGGGGGAUAACGUCCGGAAACGGGCGCUAAUACCGCAUACGUCCUGAGGGAGAAAGUGGGGGAUCUUCGGACCUCACGCUAUCAGAUGAGCCUAGGUCGGAUUAGCUAGUUGGUGGGGUAAAGGCCUACCAAGGCGACGAUCCGUAACUGGUCUGAGAGGAUGAUCAGUCACACUGGAACUGAGACACGGCCCAGACUCCUACGGGAGGCAGCAGUGGGGAAUAUUGGACAAUGGGCGAAAGCCUGAUCCAGCCAUGCCGCGUGUGUGAAGAAGGUCUUCGGACUGUAAAGCACUUUAAGUUGGGAGGAAGGGCAGUAAGUUAAUACCUUGCUGUUUUGACGUUACCAACAGAAUAAGCACCGGCUAACUUCGUG